rnacentral:rRNA from 1 species
AUGGACUUUUUCCGUCCUUGUGGUGGCCCCGGUGGCGACGUGUGGAAGAUGGACGUGCGCAGCGACGACCGCAUCGUCAAGGUGAUCCUGUGGCAUGCAGGCGCCGUCGACGCCAUCUCGAUCUGUCUCGAGCCGGACGAAUACCUCACCGGUAUGAAAGGACAUGUGGGCGAGUUUGGUGGCUCUUUCCUGGUCGGAGCGCUUACUUUAGUUGGCAACCGGCGCUCCUUCGGACCAUACGGGACACGGAAAGGCUCGCCGUUCGAGCUGCCUGCGGUGGGGGGCAGAAUCGUCGGCUUCCACGGGCGCUCCGGAGGCCUCCUUGACGCACUUGGCAUUUACCCUUGUGCUUCUUCUAUUGAUGAGUUUCAUUGCCAAAUUUACUUCUCUCAAACCGCGGAGAAGGAGACCCCAUUGUCAGUUACUACCGUUAGGCUACCACCGGGGUCCAUUCAGCAUAACACGCCCCCUGAUAGCACAACAACGCCGCGGCACCCAUCACGGUCCAUUCAGCCAUUCAGCCAUCAUCGGUGCCGCGUGGUGCAAAAAAGGGGGCAAACCCAACACAUCCCCCUUGUCGGGUCCAGCGUCUGCCGUAGCCGGCAGCAGCGCUGGUGCUUGCCGUGGACAAAGCCGGGACUAGAAGGGAAAAAGCCCAUCGCAGCGCGGGCAUCCGGUGGCGCUGUGGGGAAAGGAGCGCGACGGAGGCGGCCAAUCAGGGACAAAAUGUCUGCGGCAACAACGACAAGGCCCCUCUUGUGGGGGAGGAGGGUUGGAGUGGCUGUUGUGUUGAUAUCCACUAUUUAUAUCCCCAUGCAUGGCCAGUGA